rnacentral:ncRNA from 1 species
UUAUUGGUUUUCUUGAAUGCGUUCGAGAAAUUAAAAGGGAAUCCGAUGAGAUUUCGGAACUGUUCCCGCAGCUGUAAGCUCUAAUAACCUUUUUGUACACCUUAUGCCACUGUUGCAGUUGUUAGCGACGGGAAGGCCACAAAAAGGGGAGUAAGUCAGAAGACCUGCCGAUAAUGAA